rnacentral:rRNA from 1 species
CAGCCGCCACGGUAAUACGUAGGGUGCAAGCGUUAAUCGGAAUUACUGGGCGUAAAGCGUGCGUAGGUGGUGGUUUAAGUCCGUUGUGAAAGCCCUGGGCUCAACCUGGGAAUUGCAGUGGAUACUGGAUCACUAGAGUGUGGUAGAGGAUAGUGGAAUUUCCGGUGUAGCAGUGAAAUGCGUAGAGAUCGGAAGGAACAUCUGUGGCGAAGGCGACUAUCUGGGCCAACACUGACACUGAGGCACGAAAGCGUGGGGAGCAAACAGGAUUAGAGACCCGCGUAGUCCCUGUCUCUUAUAC